UACGGGGGGAGCAAGCGUUGUUCGGAUUUACUGGGCGUAAAGGGCGCGUAGGCGGCGCAACAAGUCACUUGUGAAAUCUCCGGGCUUAACCCGGAGCGGUCAAGUGAUACUGUCGUGCUAGAGUGCGGAAGGGGCUACUGGAAUUCUCGGUGUAGCGGUGAAAUGCGCAGAUAUCGGGAGGAACACCUAUGGCGAAGGCAGCUCGCUGGGACGUUACUGACGCUGGAGAACGCGAAAGCCGUGGGGAGCGAACAGG
rnacentral:rRNA from 1 species